GUGAUUGGGCGACCUGGAAGGAGACUGGCUCCAGAUUAGAGUGCGGUGGGCCAUGGCCGCAGCCGAUUUACGGGCGGAGCUGGACUCGCUGCUGCUGCAGCUGCUCUGGGACCUGGAAGAGCUGGAGUCAAAGCGGGUGGCGCUGAACGCCCGGGUGGAGGAGGGCUGGCUUUCGCUCUCCAAAGCUCGCUAUGCCAUGGGCGCCAAGUCGGUAGGGCCCCUGCAAUAUGCCUCCCGCAUGGAGCCCCAGGUCUGCGUCAGCACCAAGUGAGGAGCCUUGCCUGCUGAAUCGGGUGGGUGGGGAAUGCGCAGGGUGGGGCUGUCAAAGAUCCAUCCUCCCUUCUCUUUCUUCAGCGAGGCACAAAAUGGACUCCAGAAGUUUCGUGUGCUCUGCGAAGGCGCAAGGCCCUUACCAGGAUUCCAGAGCCCGAGGCCUUCUCAGCCUCCCCAAACCCUCUGAACUGGUUUGGAAUCCUGGUUCCACAUAGCCUACGGCAAGCCCAAGCCAGCUUCCAGGAGGAGCAUUUUUUAUCAGCUGGAUUCUCUGUAACCUGCUUGACCUCUGCUGUGGCCCACAUCAAAAGAGCUGUCAUUUUCAGAGGAUAAUCUAUGUCCUGAAAUCUGCUAUGGACUGAAUUGUGCCACCACCCCAAACUUAUCUGAUGAAGUUCUAACCACCAAUGAGACUAUAUUUAGAGAUGCAGCCCAUAAGAAGGUAAUAAAGGUUCAAAUAGGUCAUAAGGGUGGGUCUUAACCUGAUAGAACUGGUGUCCUUACAAGAAGAGGAAGAAAUAUGAGUGCUUGUCCUCUCCAGACACCCACAUAUAUGAGAGGCCACGUGAGCACACAGUGAGAAGGCAGCCAUCUAUAAGCCAGGAAGAGAAUUCUCACCAGAAACCAAACCUGCCAACAGCUUUGUCUUGAACUUCUGGCCUCCAGGACUAUAAGGAAAUGAGUUUCUGUUUUUUAGACUACCUAGUGGCAUUUGUUAAGGCAUCUGUGGUAUUUUGUAACAGCAGCCCAGCAGACUAACAGUGUUAACAGGGCUGAUAAACAUACUCAAACCCACCUGGACUUGUAUUAAGAAAUCUUUCCUACAUAAAGUUAAGAACCCACACACUAUAGGCUGGCCUGAGGCAGAUCUGCUGUGGGCCAGCCCAUGUCCUGUAACAGAAUGGUGGAACUUCAAGGCCUACUCUGAAAAACUACUCAGACAGUCUUCCCAGUCUCAGAGGUCCUGAGCUCUGCUGCACUAUUGUCCUCUCACAAUAGCAAGGGGAUUGUAAAUCAUCUAUAAACUUCUCUGCAGUAUACUGCCUGGCUGUAUGUAAUUUCACAGGAGACUCCAGCACCUCACCAUGUUAUGGAAUUGCAAUGUUGCUAGUUUUUUUUAAAGAUACGUUUUGUUGAUAUUAAAGAGUGAGGAAGGGAGAUAGAAACAUCAAUGUGAGAGAGAGAAAUCGAUCAGCUGCCUCCUGCAUGUGCCCCGACUCUGGAUUGAAUAUGAAACUUGGUUAUAUGUCCUGACCAGGAAUCGAACCCACCACCUUCUGGCAUUGGAACAUUGCUCCAACCACAGAACCACACUGGACAGGGCACAAUGUUGCUAGAUUUAAAGAGGAGCUUUUUCUAAUUUAAUUGUUUAUUGUUACCUUUGUGUAAGAUACCUAAGCUUGUAAUACCCUUGUUUUAAGUAUAGUUGUACAAGGUCCCUACUGAAGCAACUUCUUAUGUUUUAGUGUGAACCAGAUGAAAUGACUGUUUUGGAGGUCAAAAAAUGAUCCAAUAUCAGCAAUUUCAUAAAUGCAGUUGCCCCUCAUCCCUCCCUCCUCUAUCCCACUUGGUAACUCAUGCCCCCCUCUGAUGGCUCCAGGUCCCUAACUGUGAAAAGGGUUAAGUAAUUAGUUUAAUACUGGAAGGGAUAAGGUCUAGAGAGGAUAGAAGCAUCAUGGCCUGAAGAAUUAAAACAACCGUAAACCAAGGACAGAGGUAUUUCUAGCCUGAGCAGCUAGGAGAGUUAUAGGGGUAAUAAAACAUUUCUGGGGGGGG